UGAACGCUAGCUACAGGCUUAACACAUGCAAGUCGAGGGGCAGCAUGAUCGAAGCUUGCUUUGAUUGAUGGCGACCGGCGCACGGGUGAGUAACGCGUAUCCAACCUUCCCUAUAGUAGAGGAUAGCCCGGCGAAAGUCGGAUUAAUACUCUAUGUUUUCCAAUGCAGACAUCUAAGUUGGAACAAAGGUUCACCGCUAUAGGAUGGGGAUGCGUCUGAUUAGGUAGUCGGCGGGGUAACGGCCCACCGAGCCAACGAUCAGUAGGGGUUCUGAGAGGAAGGUCCCCCACAUUGGAACUGAGACACGGUCCAAACUCCUACGGGAGGCAGCAGUGAGGAAUAUUGGUCAAUGGGCGAGAGCCUGAACCAGCCAAGUAAGCGUGCAGGAUGACGGCCCUAUGGGUUGUAAACUGCUUUUAUACGGGGAUAAAGUGAGGGACGUGUCCCUUUUUGUAGGUACCGUAUGAAUAAGGACCGGCUAAUUCCGUGCCAGCAGCAGC
rnacentral:rRNA from 1 species